rnacentral:rRNA from 1 species
UAAAAGUCGAAAAGAGAGAUUCAACGUCAGCAUGYACAGUAUUCACGYGAGYAGUGAUGYCAGUUUUAUUGGGUUGGGGYCAAACCAAACAAUUAUGACUGACACAUUUUCAUGUUAUUUUUAUUGCUGUGCUACUGUCGGCGUGCACUUCUCUCUUAGUAGGACGUCCCGACCCGUUGAGUCUUAGCCUACGGCCCAAAUGGAUGCCUUUAAUAUUUUUAUAUUAAAAUCCUUUGGUGUCUCCUGGCCUAAGUGCUCGACGGUGGAAAACGACUUGGUAUUAAGCCGCAAUUUAUUGUGCGUCCGGCCUGCCGCAAGUUUAUUGACAAUUUCUGUACACAUAGACUAUGUCCUAAGUGUAUGGUGUUGUUGGCUGUUUGCAUGACAGUGCUCUUGGACUGGCUUAGUAUAUACCUGUCAGGACGCU